CAUCGUAAGGAUCUUCUGUAAACAACGACAUUCCCCAUUAUGUUAAGCCGCUAUUUAGAUCUACUUAUUUUGUUGCAAUAUCGUUAAUUUAAUGAAAUGUAUAAAAAAAAAUUUGAAGUAGGUUAAUUUUUCAACUAGGGAAAAAGAAACUAAAUUACCGUUUUAUGUACUUAUAAAGCCUUAAAUAAGAAACUAACUUCUGAUUUAAAAAUGGUGCAUUGCGGUUUAUUAAGUAAUCAGUUUUGAUAACGUAUCUAAUCGUUAGUUCAAGUUAGAAACAUUUUCAAGUCUAUAAAUUCCUAUUGUAAAAGUGAUCUUAAAUGUCUGAUAUUUAAUUUACUUUGUUUGUACAGACUUAUCUGAGAGCUGAUUAAUUAAGCUCAUGAUGAUUAAUUAAGCUCAUGAUUUGAAUAUUUAUUGAAUUAGCGAAGGGGAGAAAAUUAAAGUGCAAUCCCAUAAAUACACUGGGCAGUAGUGAACUAAAACGAGUGAAAGUCAGUUAACAUUGGAACUCUCUUGGUUUUACGCAAGCAACUUUUAUCAUACAGAAUGAGAAUAAUAUUUUUAUGAUUCUCUGAGAAAAGACUGUGUUUCACACAAUGGCAGCAGCUUUUGGAGAUGAUAGCACUGAUGAUGAAAUUGGUGCCAAAUUACAGCUUGCUGAAAGGUUACGUAUAAACAGGGGAGAAAACAGUUCUGAUCGAAAGGAGCAAAAUAGUAAAGAUUUAAAGCAAUAUUGUAAUUAUCGUCGCAAAAAAACACAUUCCCGGAACGAUCGGUCAAGUUCAUCUUCGAGUGCGGAAAUGGCUGCAGCAUCUGGAAGUUCACACAAGCAUUCAAAUAAAAAGAGGCAAAGUGAAAGGAAUACAGAGAACAUUUAUACUAAACGUACAUGCUUUGGAGGUAGAUAUCUUCCCACUCCAUUAUGGUGUGAUGAAAUGAAAUUUAAUAAAUGUGGAUAUUGGCCAUCUAAGCAAGCUGAGUUGCGUUUAUGUCCUGAUAAAACAUAUGAAGAUAAUGUAAAUAAUCAGGCAGACUCUGAAGAUUCUGAUCUAGAGACUCGUAUCCACAAUAAAAGGUUUCAAAAACCGGAUCAUAGCUCUAGGACGUUAAAAAAUAAUCCUUGUAACUCAUCAUCAGAACCUGGAAUGUCUCGUGAAAAUCCUGCUACUGUAAGCAAUAGUGUUAAAUUUAUAGAUAGUGGUAGUGACGAUGACUCUAAAAUAACUAUGCAGAAUGGAGCCUUGAAAGGAGGACGUCAAUCUCCAGAUCUCUUUUAUUUCAACAGGAAAGUGUUGGGUCGUAAAAUAAAGAAAGUUCUUGAUAGUGAUGAUUCAGACGAGGACAGUUGGCAUAUUGGCUAUCGUAGUCGUCCGCGAGUAUUUUCAUCAUCAGAUAGUGAAGAUUCAAAAUUAACUAAUGGCAAAAAAAAAUCUCUGGAUGCCAUUCCUGCCAGUAAUGCAGAUCAGACAUUUUUCUGUGGUGACUCGCGUCAAAAUAACAAACAUUAUGAAACUUUGCAAUCAUCAAAGAUAUCACAUUUCCGUGGUUAUGGUAAUGAAUCUCGUAAACUUUCUUCUGCAUCGAGCUCUAAGAAUCAAAAUAAGGGUCUGUCGAAAAAGUCUCAUAAUACUCAUUCUGGUUGCAGAAGUAAUUUGCCAUCAACUAGUGUAUCCGUUGAUCCAUAUGGACCCAGCAAUAGUACUGCUAGCACAUCUCGUCGAGGAAGAAGUUGUGCUAAUGGGAUUGAGAGGAGCUCCCGCAGAUCUGGGUCACCACAUCCAAAAAGUUUGCGCUCUCAUCAGCGAAUAAGCUGUAGCAAAGGCAGGCCACCGAGUUCUACUCGCUCACGAAAAGAUAAACUCAAUCUUGCUGCAUCUUAUCCAGAUUUGUUUGAUGCAGAAGAUAGUAGUGAGGUUGAAUUUUUCACUGCAAACUCUUACUCUGAUACAGAAACUAGCGCAGAAGCAUGCGAUAGCAGGAAGGCAAACGAAUCGUGUAAAAAUCACCCUGAUCCUUUAGUUGCAGUUUUCAAUGAAUCUGUUAGUGAUAGUAGUUCUGAAGAUGAAAUAAGUGUUGUGUUCUCUACUACAACAGCAAGAAAUAAUGAACAACGAAGAGGUGUUCCUAGAGCAAUAGAUAGAUUACAUGGGAGGGGAACAUCUCGUGGUCAGCCUACAGUAGUGUCAUUUUCUCCUGAUCCCGUAGAGCAAGUUCGGCAGGUGGAAGAAGAUGAAAGAAUAGCUCGAAUACUGCAAGCUCAGUUUGAUGCUGAAAUGGGUCCUCAAUUUUCUUCUGUACAUGCAAACCCUCGUAUGGGCCUUCAUGUAUCAGUAGACAGUCAUGAAGAGGUCAUCGAUCCAUUUGGAGAAUCAGAUAGUGAAGAGCCAUUCAAUCCAUAUGUCAUGGCACCAUCACGUCGAGGAUACAGAGUGCCGCAUUUGUUCAGCAGAUCAAGAACCUCAAGUAUUGAUCGAUCAGAUGAUGAAGAGGCAUUCCUUCCAUAUAUCAUGGCAACGCCUCGUCGAGGAUCCGGAGUGGGACGUUCGUCCAGCAGACCAGGAACCCCAAAUAGUAAUAGGAGGUUAGAAACUCGAGCACGUGGAUCAUACCGUAUUGAUGCAAGAUGGCGUGUGGCAAGUCUGUUUGGUGACGAGACAAGCACUACUCCUGGAACAAACUUCUAUUUUACUAAUGGUGAUGAUUAUGAGAUCAAGAUCAAGGGAGUUUUAGCAAGAAAGUGUGUGAUCUGCAAUUGAAUUAGGUUGGGCUUAUCUAGUGCAGAAAAUUAAACCUUGUAAACCAUUAUGUUGCUUAUGUGAUUUCUACAUUACUGUCUUCCCUGCAUGCAGUGCCAAAAUCAAUUGCCAUAAGACAGUAAACAGCAAACUGAUAUCGCAAGACAAUUGAACAGCUUACAUGGUUUUCUAUCAUAGACUUGAAAAAUCUUCCUGAAGCAUUAGCAAUAUGAUUAGGCUUUCUUGAGUGUUGCGGAUUUGAAUGGUGAAGCUGUAUCUCAUGGUUUGCAUAAAGCACAAAUCAAUAGACUUCCAACUAGGAGGUAUGUCAGCCCUAACUCAGCUGCAGCUGGCUUUACCACUGAAGUUGUA
rnacentral:misc_RNA from 1 species